UCUGGUUGAGAGCUUCUGGAUUAGUAGGAGGAGUCCACAAGUCUAUUAUUUACUAUGCACACAAACAUUUACCUAAUUUUUCUUUCAAUAAGAAACCUUAUCCGUUGCGCUGGUGCCUGAUUUUCUGACUGCAAAGUCUCUUCAAAGUCUCCUUUGCAAUUUCUCUGAAGUCUAAACCUCCCUUUGUCUUUUCAUGGAUGAGAGAAUAACAGUGGCUAUAUGAAACGGAGCGGCGAUCUCAAAUACUCGCCAUACUCUGUUUUUCAGCUCCACUUGUUCCAGCAAGCACUUCUGAGGAGUUCAAUCUGGUGUGUCAUGACUAGAACUGGACCAGCAGUUAGACAGAAAAAAGAAGAGAGAAGUAGCUUUUGCACUAUUGUCUGGCAUCAUCUACCUGGAACCAACAGGGUCCACAUUCAGACCACGAAGAAGAGAGACCUCCAGAUGCUGUGAAAGUUAACAAUCAUACAAUGGGAUGAAAGUUAGUCAUCUCUCAAGCACAGUAAGAAGAAUGAUAAAAAUAAUAGCUAACAACUGAAGCAGAAGACAGGGAGGCCUUUGUGCUGCAUAUGCUGGGACAAAGGAAGAAGAACCACAGAGGGAACUUCAUUCUUCAGUUCCAAAUUCUUCUGUUUUUUGCUCUGUCAAAAUAAAUCUUAGUCUUUCAACCUUAUUUUUUUCCUAUAAUGGGGAAAACAAUGAAACACAAUUUUUUAAUGAAAAUAAACAUUAAAUGACAAGCUCAGGAAUUCCGAAGGAGCAAGAGCAGAAGCUGCCAGUCUUCCUGAUGGCUCGAUUCUUCAGUUCCAAAUCCUCACUUCUGUCCUUUCCAGUUGGCUAAUUCAUGUCACACCCCAGUCCACAUUCAGGGCGACGGGAGAGCUCACGCAAAUCAACGUGUAUCAAUACACAUCGCACGUGCUUUAGAUAAAACCAAACAAGACUGACAGAUUCCCUGAAUUUUCUAAGACUUUUAUAGUUUGAAUGUGAAAUGGCCCCAAAACUCUCUUGUGUUAGAGGUGAGACUUUUGGAAGUGAUUGGAUCAUUGGAUACCAUGCUCAUCAGUGGAUUAAUCUACUAUUAGGCAUUUAGGUGAAUAUUACCAUUCCAGCUAGUGGCUCUUCAUCUACUUUUCCUGAGAGACGACUAUGAGGACUAUACCCCAAAUAACACUCAAGUGAUACAUAACUUUCAGCUCCAGGAGUAAAGGUACUGUCAGUCUCUUGUGUUCCUACUGAUCAGCUCAGCAUCUGGAUCAUAGAGAAAAUAAUCCACCAAUUAAGAGGAAAGAAGACCAAUAAAUUUGGAAGUCACAGAAUGAGAUUAGCACUCAAUUCUUCCUCAAAAGAAACUUCAAGCAAGUUGCAAAGUGAAGUGAGCCAUGGAAUAAACUCCUAGGUGUAUAUUAGGAGAUAGAGAAGAUGCAUCUCUGCAUCCAGGCUGCAAAAUGCAGAGAACUGCCUGAUUCCACAAACGCAGAAAUAAGUAACACUCUAAGAUGGCAGGCUACAUAGGUGAGAGAGAGGUUCCCAAUGUAUUUUAAGCACUGACCCUGAGAAAAGCAGAAGAGAGAGGAAACACAUCACAUACCACCACCACCACUAAGUUUUCCACAGCUCCUAUUCCUAUAGUUGAGGGUGAGGAACAGGUACGGACUCCAUUCAGUAUCAAGAACCAAAGGCAUUUGCUGUGUCCUGUGGUUGUCUCCAUUGCCCAUGUGGAGAGGACAGACAGCCAGGCCGCGGGUGAAAUAUACCCACUUGCUGCCUUGUCCAUACCCAAGUCCUUCAGAAUAGGGAGCCAAGAGCAACAGUGUGGAACCUCACAGUUUAACAUUGAAAAGAAUUAUCUGCUGUUAUCUGGAAUUGUUUAUGAAAUGUUAAUUAAGUGAAGUUAUUAAAAAUAAGUAAUAGGUGCAUUUCUUGCACACCUGUGUUUAUGGCUUGAGUUUUGAACCUGUCACACAAAGAGUUACAAUCAAUCAAGUUACCUCAAAUAACUGGGAGUAUACUGAAAAAUUACGCACAGAUAUAAAGACAAAGGGAUCUCACAUGAGCUCAGGAACUACAACGUGCUAAAGCCGUUCAGAAACUAAAACAUAAUUUAGACCUGGGAGGAUACAGAAAACCUGCAGUGAUUAGGUUGUCUAUGUGCCCUCAGAAGCGAGCUUCUGGUCCUUCUCUUCAGGAAUACUCAGCUUCUCUGACUGUGACCACUGCUCUGACUGCUAAUGACCCCCUCACAGUACCUGCCCUCCUUUAUUACUUUGCAACCUCUGUGUUUUCAUCACUCAUGUCCCUUUCUCUUCAGUUACAGGCGCUCUUCAUCCUCAGGAGUUUCAUCUUUGUCUUUCCAGCAUCUUUUCCCACUUUAAAUUCUUUGAUUCCAAUUGUGUAUUUUAUUUGUGUGUAGGGAUUCUUGCUUGGGCAAUUGGAAUGUCAACUGGAAGAAGAAAGUUUAAAAAUAUUCCCUUUUAAGAGUGGGAUGUGCUCAUUUUCAGACAGUUUUGUCUUGGGCCAACAAGAAAAAUGUUAAUGAAUCAAAAGACUACAAGUAUAGUCUCAGAAUCCCCAGAACUGCAAAAUAUUUAAACUUUAAGUACUUAUGUUUUGGAAUUUAAGAGUAUUAAGUUUUUUGAUAGUUUCAAAUAGUCCCAACUCUCAAUAAAAGUGGUGUGGUAUAGCAAGUAUGUUUAGAAAAGUGGCAGAAGAAGGAAAGGAAAUACAAAGAGCUGGAACUUUGGAAUUCAUGUGUGCCAAACCAGUGAUGGGGACAAGGAUGGGAGCAGGUCCGACAAUAACCAAAGGCUGAUUCGAAAUAUGAGACCAUCCUCAAAAGUUAGGAGGAUCAUGCAGUUAGAAACAAACAAACAAUCAAGAAAUGAAUAGUCUCAUAAGGCAAUGAUUAGGUUCUCUAGUUCUUUAUUUACAAAAAAGUAAAAUCUAUUUGGAAGGUGCAAGGCAGAACUAAAGUAUUUGGAAGGUAGGGAAGUUCUCUCUUUGAACUGAUGGUACUAGUGUGGUUUUGGAUAAAAUAAUAAGUAAAUAUUCCAGGAGAUUCUGGCUAUAUAAUCUCCCUGUGGGUGUCCAAGGUAGAAUUCAUAUAAAAAGUAACAGAAAUAUGACAGUAUUUCUACCCAAGAAGGUAAAGAUGAUUAGGGGAAAAAUGAACUUUUGUAUGGUGGAGAAAGAAGUCUAGAAUAAUAGUGAGCAACAAUGUUACUAAAAUGCAAUUCACCAAAUUUCAGUAAAUACAUAAUGCCAUCAAUUAUCUUGCAUUUCAUAUAAAAUUGGUACUGAAUGCACUAUAAAAUAUAUUUGUAUGACUUAUUUAUUGAAAAAAGAAGAUCAGCUAAAGAAAUCAUAUUAGUUUAGCCAUUUAAAUUUUAGUUCUGUGUAUAUUUAUGAAGUAGUAGCAUUGAAGAAAUGCUUUGUAGCACUUUCCAAAUGUGAUGAUAAAAAAGAACUUCAAAAGGUAUCUUAUUCAUGCAAAAAGUGUUUAAUUAUCCCCUAUCAUGUGCGAGGCACAGUGAAAUUUCUGCAUGUUCCCUGGUGAAAAAAUUGUAGUGGUGAUCGGUCAGUUCAAAGACCUUUGACCUCCUCACAGUGGUUCACUUUUGCAUAUGUUAUUUUGGUCCAUCCUCAAAUCAGUUAUGUGGAGAAAGGAAUAAUACAUGUUCACUGGAGUUAGACAGAAUGGUGAAAAUUAUGUAGUUAUUUAACUGGAAAAACAGAAGUAGAAAUAGUUGUUACAUUUAAAGCAGUAUUUUGGAAGAAUUUAUUAGAUGAUGCUAAAAGUGGAGAGACAAAAAUAAAAGCACGUCUCAUGCUAUGGAUCCUUGCAAUGUCUCUGUUUGGCCUGGUUGCUCUUGAAAGCUGUUGGUUGAAAUGAUUGUAACAACUCCAAAUGAAAGUUUCUCUUCCCACCAGGGUGAGCAUGUGGCUAGUCUCAAACUUCCUUCUGGGUUGUGCUUGGUUUCCUCGAAGGCCAUAAUUCUAGGCUCUAGCACUGUAGAGGGUUCAUUGUUCUUAUCAGAUGUAUCAAAGGGAGGCAUCAUCAGAGAGACAAGAAGGCAAGAUAUACAUAAAAUGACCAAAGAAUACAAAGCAAGUAUAUUUUGAGAAAGACUUCCUAACAAAAGCAGAAGGAAGUGUUGAACACGGGUAUUUUAGGAAAUAAUCAUUUGUGAAAACCACCGGCUCUCAAAACAGCAUCAUGUGAAGUUUUUAAUCUCAAGUGCAUUUUUUUUUUUUUUGUAUCUGAAAUCAAACUCAAGACCUUGUGCUUGACAGGCAGGUGCGGCACCACUGAGCUACAUCCCCAGCUCACAUGAAUUCUAUGGAGAUAUAUAGGUACAUGUUGAUGUGGAAUAAACUGAAUUAUUAUUGCAUUGUUACUUUUUUCAUGAAUAGAUUUUUCAAGGCAAGAUUCUUUCACUCGGGAACCAAUACUGACACAUUACUGAAGGGUUAAGAGAUUCUGUCUCUCUCCCAACUAAUGACUCAGUGUGGUACCAUUAUUAAUUUGCAGUGCACACAACAGCACCUGAUAUAGAGAAUCUUCUCAAUAAAUGUUUGUUGAGUGAGAUUUGUUCUUGGCACACAUAUAUAAGUAAUAGCUCAGAGUGACUGCAUGUGGCAAUUCCAGUUGAAGGAUAAGCUUAAUACCCAGGAAGUAGUAGAGGACUCUAAUUUAAUCCUUUCAACCUGAUUUCUAUACAGAACAUUGUUUUAGCUACUUUACUGAAAAACUUCAGUUACAGUAUCUUUUUCAGAUGCAUUCAAUACCUGUUGAUUCAAUUGAAUAAAAAGUUAAAUGCAAGAGGGUGUCAACAGUACCAUAUUUAGGAGCUUAACAAUCAUUUUCUAUUUUCUAUGCUCUUGGAAAUAGAUAUUUAUGUAGAAAUACCCUCUCAAACACUUAGUUAUAUUUCCAUUUUUAGAAGAAGAUACUGUAUUUAAAGGAAAGGAGAUUAGUAUUAAUCCAGGAGGAGAAUUUUUGGUACCAACCCAUAUAUUUUCACCAGUUGUAAUAGUAGAGGAAAAGAUCUCUCUAGAGGCAAAACAAUAACACAGCAACAACAAUAAGAACAAACUAGAAUAUAGUUGUACUUGCACAUUGCAACAAUAACAUUAGGAUGUAUUAAAAGAAAAGAUAGUCAACUUCUUUCCAUAAUCAUAUAAUCUAUGUAGACAAGUUAGACAGUUUGCAAGAAAUAUUUGUUUUCCAAAAGUUUCUUUUGAAACAGGGUGGCACAGGCUAAAUUGCUUGGUGACAGGCUUCCAGUUCUCUGGUCUUAUGACAUGAGCCAUGUCCCUAAGAUGAAAAAGCACCCUUUCACUAGCCUGUUGACAUGAACAAGCUGGCUUUCAAUGCCAAAGGCUUUAAGAAAAAGAAAACUUUAUUUUCCAUCUCUUAUUAAGCAUAUUAUCAGAGAAGAAAUGAUUCACAGGGCCAUGAAUUAACACAUUCACAAAACUUUAAAUUAUAUGGCAGCCCAGUUAACCAAUUUGUGAAGCAAUAAAAAAUAUCUGGAGGUUUUGUUUUUUUUCCAGGUCCUCUCAUGAAGAAAGUUCUAUAACUCAAUAAGAAUAUAAUAUAAAAAUGGAAAUAAAUGCAUUAUAAGAUGUAUUAUUACAGAAAUAACUCACC
ensembl:lncRNA